rnacentral:lncRNA from 1 species
GUGGCCGAACCUCUGUUCCUCCUUCGGCUAGGAAGUCAGAGAAUGACACUGUGAAACGGGUGCCAUUUGAAAAGCCUCCAUUUAGUCUCAGCCAGAUCAAGAAAGCCAUUCCACCUCACUGUUUUAAGCGCUCUGUUAUCCAUUCAUUCUCCUAUGUUGUUUAUGACCUCACCAUAGCCUUCUUCCUCUAUUACGUUGCCACCCAUUACUUCCAGCACCUUCCUCGCCCUCUCUCUUUCUUGGCCUGGCCUGCUUACUGGGCUAUCCAAGGUUGCAUCCUUACCGGUGUUUGGGUCAUUGCACAUGAGUGUGGCCACCAUGCAUUCAGUGACUAUCAAUGGCUUGAUGAUACAGUUGGCCUUAUUCUCCACUCUGCCCUUCUUGUGCCUUACUUUUCAUGGAAAUACAGCCAUCGCCGCCACCAUUCCAACACCGGUUCUCUUGAGCGGGAUGAAGUCUUUGUGCCCAAACAGAAGUCCAGCAUCUAUUGGUACUCCAAAUACCUUAGCAACAACCCACUAGGCAGAGUCCUCACCAUUACCAUCACCCUCACUCUUGGCUGGCCCCUUUACCUGGCUCUCAAUGUUUCAGGCAGGCCUUAUGAUAGAUUUGCUUGCCACUUUAACCCACAUGGUCCCAUUUACUCAGAUCGUGAACGUCUUCAAAUAUAUGUAUCAGAUGCAGGAAUACUUGCAGUGUGCUUCGGGCUUUACCAUCUUGCCAUGGCCAAAGGUCUUGCCUGGGUUGUGUGUGUUUAUGGAGUUCCACUGCUUGUAGUCAAUGGAUUCUUGGUAUUGAUUACAUUUUUGCAGCAUACUCACCCUGCGUUGCCGCAUUACGAUUCCUCUGAGUGGGACUGGUUGAGAGGAGCUUUAGCAACUGUUGACAGGGAUUAUGGAAUCCUGAACAAGGUCUUCC